GCCUCCGUGGCGCAAUCGGUUAGCGCGUUCGGCUGUUAACCGAAAGGUUUGGUGGUUCGAGUCCACCCCGGGGGGCG
rnacentral:tRNA from 1 species